GCUGAUCUGUGGUACAAAACAUACUUAGGUAGGGAACCAAACAGCCCUGUAACUAUAGGACUAAAUAGAACAGUUAGAGUUAAGUUCCACACCAGAAGGAUUUCCCAGGGAGCUGGUAGCCCUCGUAAUGUUUUGCAGCAAAAAUAAUAGUCUCCUGUGGUAUUUAAAAGGCUAGCAAGUUCUAUUUGGUCCACGCUGGCUGCAGACCGCAAGGGCUUUCAAAGAAAAUAAAAUGUGUUGCUUUUUGCAGUGCCACAAAACUCCUGCUGUUUUGCAGCAGAAGUAGUGAAGUUCAUCUUUGUUGCAUCACAAUCAGAAUGCCACGUUAAUUAUGCCUCCAUAAUAAGGUAAGUCAUUAUUGGUCACGAUUUUCUUCCAAUCUCUUAUUUAAAUGUUGCAAUGCCGGAGUGUGACCAACCAAAUGUCCAAGAUAAUUUGGCAGCAGCACACCUGAGUGGCUUCGCUUGGUAAACACAAGUCCAAAAGUGAGGGGAAGGAGCAAGGUUUAAAGUCCCACAGAAAGGGCAAUGAGAAAGAGCAAACGACCCACCAUCCCUUCACUACUGACCAUCAACAAAAGGGGUAAGGUAAGAGUGAAGUCAAACGUAUACUCCACUGACGGGCAGACAAGAAAUGGUGAUGGUGGCGGCGGCUGAUUUUCAGCAGGAGCAUUAUGACUUCUGCUUCAGUGAAGAGCCAGUUCUAACUUCAGCAACAAAGCAGAAAACAAGCAGGAGCCAAUCUAAAAUGAAGCAUCCACUGCAGCAUCCACGUCCAUCUAACAUAGAAAUCACAUGUAUAAGAGAUUCCAAUGCCUGUCCUAAUGUUGAGCAUCCAAAACAUUUCAUGGUGCCUGAACUAUCUCAGUUCUUCAUAAUGGAUGAAGGUAGGUUCAAGGGUAGCUGAAGUACUGUCUCUGUUUAAACAAAAAUGAAAAUGUAAAGAAGAUUUCCAAACAAAGGCAGAUUAAAAACGGACUCUUAACCACCAAAUGCUAUCAUGAUCUUAUCACUCUCCAAUCUGAUGCUGAUGAAUUUAUUUUCAGACUAAGAUGUUUCGGUCAUAAAUGUAGAAAAAUGUUCAGUAUUUUUGGAGGGAGGCACACAGAAAAAUUCCACUGAAGCUAGGGUUUCCCCACACUAUCCUGAGUUCCAAUCAUCCUAUAGAUCAGUGGUUCCCAACCUUGGGCCCCCAGGUGUUCAUGGGCACUCCCAGAAAUCCUGGCCACCUUAGCUGCCGGUGAAUUUGCCCAAUGAACCCAAGGCAGGGGUACCUUUGCCAAACUUGUCGGCCAGGCCUGGGGAAUUCUUUGGCCUCUAUGUUUUGUUUUUUGAACUUUAACUGCUAUCAUCCACACCUAGAAAGGAAGGGAGGAUGGGAGUUGAGAUCCAAGAUAUCUAGAAGGUCAGAAUUUCCCACCCUGUCAUACACUGCAAUGCACGUGCUUGAGAAGCAACUCCAGGGAUUUCUAUAUAUGUAAAACGGAGUCUAGACCAAGAAGAAUGUUUUAAAACACACAGAGCACUUUUUCACAAAUUGAUUCAUUUUGCCUACAAAGAUUCCCACCGUUAACCCAAUCCAGAACACUGAGAUCCGCUGCACUCAUCAAAUCCACAGCCUGCCCAGAUCACAGAAGUAACUUAUCGGAGGUAAUGUGACCUUACCUGUAACGCUUCGUGCGAGUGUUACCAGGGCAAGCCUUUUGUGGAGCAAUGCCGCGAUUACGUCAUAUUUCUAUUAUUACAAGUUACCUGUGGCCAGUAUAACAUUAUACUAAACCUAUAACAACAUUCACUUGUUGUGUUAGUGUUGCUGUUUUUUAAAUAUCUUUUGUGUCCACUGUUUUAAUCCCCCCCCCAAAAAAAAGAGAACAAGGAAGCAAAGGGAGACCAGAUGACUGAAGGAAACUUCCCACAUAGAAUGAAACUUAAUACAAAUGAAAAUACUAUGAAUUGGCAUUAACUGCCGGCACAGAUUUUUAACAGAAAAAGCCAGCCGCAUUGCAAUGUGUAUUUCCUCCCAUGGGUGACAGCCCUGAACAUAGGCAGCGGGUGACCAAGGAAGAAGAGGCAGCGCACAGACCAUCCUUGGCCCUUCAAGGGAUGUUGAUAGGAAAGGCCGAAGGGACAAGAAACUAAAGGAAGGGGGUGGGACGGAGCAAGGGAGGAAGCCAAGAACCUUCCCGGAGGGACGGGGCUCGGAAGGCGAAGGAUUGGGGCUCCUGUGCCUUUAAGAGCGGCGCCGAAUUGGGUCCGUAGUGGCUUCUGGUGGAGCUGAAAUGACAUAUCUCGGCUAUCCAGUGGGAGCCACAGAAGGCCAAAAAUAGUGGANNNNNNNNNNNNNNNNNNNNNNNNNNNNNNNNNNNNNNNNNNNNNNNNNNNNNNNNNNNNNNNNNNNNNNNNNNNNNNNNNNNNNNNNNNNNNNNNNAAAGUUACUGACUGGGGGUCGGGGAUCGGGGGGGGGGGAGGAAGACUCACUUUCCUGAAAAAAAUUUCAGCACACGCAGGGCUCCGGGCACCGAUUGCCUCCUACCGCUCUCGCCUUUGAAGCGCUGCGUCAUCGUCAUCAUCAUCCUCAUCGCCGUCGCUGCCGCCGCCGCCAGGGCAGUUUCUCAUCGCCUUUGCCAGCCAGCGGCCAGACGCUGGGGUGAAAUCGACAAAAAAAGCUGGAAUCCGAGCCUCUCUAGACUGAGGCACUUGAGCAAAAAGCAAACAGAGCUGGCAGCGGAGUUCGCCGAAAGCAAACAUUCUUCGCAGGAGAUACAAGUUGGGGGAGGGGGAGAAUCCCACAGGGGUUCGGUUGGCACCAGAGACGCCGUAUUGGGAUCACACAUACACUACACAUAGAAAUGUAAUUCUGCUUCUGUUUCUAUAUAUAUUUAAUAAACAAACACUGUAACAUAAAUAAACCA
rnacentral:lncRNA from 1 species